AUUGAACGCUGGCGGCAUGCUUUACACAUGCAAGUCGAACGGCAGCGGGGGCUUCGGCCUGCCGGCGAGUGGCGAACGGGUGAGUAAUGCAUCGGAACGUACCCAGUCAUGGGGGAUAACGUAGCGAAAGCUACGCUAAUACCGCAUACGCCCUGAGGGGGAAAGCGGGGGAUCGCAAGACCUCUCGCUAUCAGAUGAGCCCAUGUCAGAUUAGCUAGUUGGUAGGGUAAAGGCCUACCAAGGCGACGAUCUGUAACUGGUCUGAGAGGAUGAUCAGUCACACUGGAACUGAGACACGGUCCAGACUCCUACGGGAGGCAGCAGUGGGGAAUAUUGGACAAUGGGGGCAACCCUGAUCCAGCCAUGCCGCGUGUGUGAAGAAGGCCCUUGGGUUGUAAAGCACUUUCAGUGGGGAGAAAGGUCUGGCACCUAAUACGUGUUGGAAUUGAUGUUACCCACAGAAGAAGCACCGGCUAACUCCGUGCCAGCAGCCGCCGUAA
rnacentral:rRNA from 1 species